rnacentral:rRNA from 1 species
AUUGAACGCUGGCGGCAGGCCUAACACAUGCAAGUCGAACGAGUGGCGGACGGGUGAGUAAUGUCUGGGAAACUGCCUGAGGGAGGGGGAUAACUACUGGAAACGGUAGCUAAUACCGCAUACCAUCAGAUGUGCCCAGAUGGGAUUAGCUUGUUGGUGGGGUAACGGCUCACCAAGGCGACGAUCCCUAGCUGGUCUGAGAGGAUGACAAGCAACACUGGAACUGAGCCAGGGUCCAGCCUCCGACGGGAGGCAGCGUGGGGGAAUAUGGCCCAAUGGGCGAAAGCCUGAUGAAGCCAUGCCGGGUGUAUGAAGAAGGCCUUGGGGUUGUAAAGUACUUUCGGCGGGGAGGCGUUACCCGAAGAAGAAGCACCGGCUAACUCCGUGCCAGCAGCCGCGGUAAUU